rnacentral:tRNA from 3 species
GCGCCCGUAGCUCAGCUGGAUAGAGUACUGGCCUCCGAAGCCAGGGGUCGUGGGUUCGAAUCCCGCCGGGCGCGCCA